AGAUUGAACGCUGGCGGCAGGCCUAACACAUGCAAGUCGAGCGGCAGCACGGGUACUUGUACCUGGUGGCGAGCGGCGGACGGGUGAGUAAUGCCUAGGAAUCUGCCUGGUAGUGGGGGAUAACGCUCGGAAACGGACGCUAAUACCGCAUACCGUCCUACGGGAGAAAGCAGGGGACCUUCGGGCCUUGCGCCUAUCAGAUG
rnacentral:rRNA from 1 species